rnacentral:rRNA from 1 species
AGCCUGAGGAAAACAUCUUAGGUUUAACCUGCCCAAUGUGAAAUGAAUGGCCGCGGUACUUUGACCGUGCUAAGGUAGCGUAAUUAUUUGUCUUUUAAAUGGGGUCAUGUAUGAAUGGAACCACGGGGUUAAGCUGUCUAAAAUUAAUUUUUUUGAAAUUACUAUGCAAAUGAAAAAGUUUGCGUAAAGAAAAAAGACGAGAAGACCCUUAGAGUUUUUGUGAAAGAGUUUUCCCCUUUAUUCACUUUUGUUGGGGCAACAUAGGAACAUAAAACCUCCUUAAAAUUUAAACCGAUUUUUUUAAGUAUGAAAAAACUACCUUAGGGAUAACAGCAUAAUUUAUUAAUAAGUUUGUGACCUCGAUGUUGGACUAGGAAUCUAGAGGGCUAGCCGUUUUCUAGAAAAGUUCUGUUCGAACAAAAAUUCCU